CGGUGGAGCACGUGGUUUAAUUCGAUGAUACGCGAGGAACCGUUACCUGGGCUCAAAUGUAUGUUGACGUAUUCUGAAAGGGAUACUUCUUCGGACAAUAUACAAGGUGCUGCAUGGUUGUCGUCAGCUCGUGCCGUGAGGUGUCGGGUUAAGUCCCAUAACGAGCGCAACCCCUAUCAUUAGUUGCCAUCAGGUCAAGCUGGGGACUCUAAUGAAACUGCCUACGCAAGUAGUGAGGAAGGUGGGGAUGACGUCAAAUCAGCACGGCCUUACGUCCAGGGCUACACACGUGCUACAAUGGCCGGUACAAAGGGCAGCUACCUGGUGACAGGAUGCUAAUCUCAAAAGCCGGUCUCAGUUCGGAUCGGAGUCUGCAACCCGACUCCGUGAAGUUGGAUUCGCUAGUAAUCGCGCAUCAGCCAUGGCGCGGUGAAUACGUUCCCGGGCCUU
rnacentral:rRNA from 1 species